GAAUCUCAGGAAGACUUUCCAGUAUGGGGGCCGCAUUGAGUCCCCAAACAGCAUGGAGCUGAAGGCCAUGUUGGCUGGCAGGAGCUCCAAGAGGCAGCUGUUUCUAUUACCUGGCGGAAUCGAGCGACACCUAAAAAUAAAGACAUGCUCAGUUGCCCAGGAUGCCAUUGAGGAGCUGUGCUAUGAGAUGGGUCUGAACAAACUUACGGCCAUGGAUGAAUAUGCCAUAU